ACUGCCUGGUUUGGAGGCUUUGAAAGCAAAGUAGAUCAUGAUAGUCUUGCCCAAAAUUGAAGAGAUCGCUGUUGAGAAGAAGACACCAAAAGAGAUCUGACGCAGCAUGCAGGUUAAAUCCUCAGGAUGACCGAGGAACAUAAACACACAGAGGAAGCUCAGCAUGAGAGAGACUAGAAGGGUGAAACUAAGAUUUUUGUUAUUAGCUUUAACAAUAGGUGUAUCCCUAAACAUGAUAAAG